UUGAUGGUGGGAUGGAAAUUGUUGAAAUCAUGGUGGAAGCCAGGCUCUACGAUAUAACCGCAUUUGCUCCAACCCCUUGUCCCUUCUUCAGCAGCUGGUACAGAGGGCAGGCCAUCUCUGCAUAACCUUCAAUGAAUUCUCUUGAGAAUCCUGUCAGGUCCAAGAAGGAACGUAGAGAAGAUAUGUUCUGUGAAGCAGGAAACUUAUUUAUGAGCUCAAUUCUUUGAGCGUCAGGUUUUCUUCCUUCAGCUCCUAACUCUAUGUCCAGGUAUGUUAUUUUUUGGCACACCAGGUGAGCCUUCGUUGGGUUGAUCAAAAACCCUAUAUCCUUGAUUCUCUCCAGCACUUUGUCAAGUGCCCUUAAAACUUUUCUUCUUCAUUGGUGGUGGCAAUCAGCAUAUCGACAUAACUUAGGACCCUCUCUCUGUCUUCCAAGGAGUCCAACAUUUUUUUCACAUGGCGAUGGCAAAUAGCUGGCACACUGUGGAAUCCUUGUGGGACAUGGCAGAAUGUAUAUUGCCAGAUCUUGAAGGGAGGAUCACACAGACGCAGGAAUGGAGACAGGAACAUGGGAUACCACAGAGGCAGGGAUCGAUGAGGACACCAGGAUAUACCGAGAUGGAUCUGCAGAUGGAACACAGGUAAGGCAACCUUUAGGUAAGCUGAUCAUCUCCUCCUACACUUGUGUCGUCCUGGGUGGAUGUAUGCGGACACUAACCUGAUAAGUGAUGGUAUGCCAGGUGAGUGGGAGCAGUGCAAUUGCAGAUGGAACAACGGGAACUGAUCUGCCACUCUGAUGGGCAGCAGCCGUGGGACAAGUGAACCAACCUUAAAUACUCUCCUGUUACCAGGCAGAUUAGGGUCAUGCGACCAUACCUUUUCCUGCCUUGCAGAGAAAAAGAUGCCAAAUCUGGCAACAAGAUAGGCACCAAAAAUGGAGCGACAACAACCACCCCUUGAAUCCAAGCUGGAUAAAUAGGGAAAAACAACAAAAACAGAAAAAUUCCCUACAAAACCACCUUUGUGGCUUUUUACUUCUGGAACUGAUGGAUGCGGACAUGAAAUAGAACAGCUUGGAGAAUACAAGCCAAUCUCUAUGGAGAAUCUUUCCACCAAAAUAAAAAAAGAAAAGUAGUUUUAAAUUGAGACAUUUUGAAAAAGUUCACCUCUGAAGAUUAUUCUAAGAUGUUUUCUUGCAAGAUCCUAUCUUGAGAACAGAAAGUGGGAGCUAAUUUAAAUAAUGAUUCCAACACAAAAACUAUGGUGUCCAAAAGCUAAGUUUGCACAAGUAGAAGUACCAACUCAAGUAUUAAAUGACUUAGAAAAUUCAAAGUUAAGAGGUAGCAAACACUAUACAGCAGCCAGCCAACAAAAAUGCAUGGAAAUUAAAAUCUUAAUAAUCCAUUAUACACUCGUAAGGAAACACCAAAAUAAAACUUCAACUGUAUUCCUGUAGUGAUUAAAACAUACGAUUCUGAGACAACUUUUCAUCCAUAACAGUUUCAAAAUCACUAGUGACCAUAAAACACUAGACUGUUUUACUCCUAGUUUACAGUUUUCCUGCAAAUUCUGGUCACCAUUAAGUUUACACAAAGAUUUACUUAAAUUUAUAAACAGAGGGUAUGCUCAUUCUGAGACUGAGUUUCUUCAGUCAGACCAAAAACUUGACAUGCCUCACCUUUCUGAAAUUAAAAAAUAAAAUAAAAAAAAAAUGCCCAAAAGAACCCAAAAACAAACAGACACCACAGAAGAGUUUUUCUGGUUUGAAUUUCAGGCAUUCUUCAUACAUUAUAAAGUAGCAAAAAAGGCAUAAAUUCUUUGCAGAUUACCUUCAUGUUACUAAUAUCGUCAGUUUUAGCUUCAUCUUAGUUAUUUUUUGUCUGGGAAUAAAACUAUUAUAUUUUGCAAGAAGUCAGAUGGUAAGCUAAGUAUGUGCGCUACCUUUUCAUAUUUUGAGAUAGGUUGACACUCAGGAAUAUCAUGGCCGUUCUCAAAAACAUGAAGUACUUGUAACAUGGCAUGUGGGUACAUACAAAAGUAGGACUAAGCACUUCAGAAUAAGGCUGAUCAGAUCCUCAGAUUAACUGUUCUAUUAUUUUCAUUAUUUUCCUAGUAAAAGGAGGUGUUUUUUUUCUUUUUGGCAUAGCUUUUCUCCUUGAAGUCCCUUCAUAGUACAUUGAAUCAACCCAAGUUAGAAAAUAACAUACCAAAAUGGAUCAACUUGCACCAUCUACUCCUGUAUUCUGCCUCUGCUACAGUCUGUACCUUUGAAAUUCUCUUCUCAAGGAGGAUUCAGCUACUAUUCUUAUCUGAAGUAUUUGUGCCUUAAGGAAGGGCUCGUAUUAUUCCCUCAUUUUAGCAGUAUUCAAUGUUUGUAAAUAAAUGUAAAAGGGAAAACAUCCAAAAUAAGCAUCUGAAUGCAUAAACUCCUUUAUUGAAAAUAUUGCGAUAGCAUUGCAUUACAUAUAUUCAAUAUUCAUAGUUUAAAGUGUAAAGGGUCACAGAAGUUUUAUGACCACCACUGCUGAAUACAGAACACAACGUUUAGAUAUGCUCUGACAAGUACAGAGUAAUAGAAUAAACUGUAGGUAAAUGAGAGAGAUAGGUAUGUAAAAUGACAAUUUUUUUUUGCUUGUAACUAGUAAUUGGUAUGCAACUGGCCAAAAUGGCAGACAUUAUUGGACAUUCCUAGCAUCUCUCAAAGCACUAUGCUAUUAGCAAUUUCUGAAAUAUCUUACAGCCAAAUCUAUCAGAACUUUUUUUUUACGGAUAGACCAAGUGGUAGAAAAUAGUGUUAAUAGCUUAUGUGCACUGUGUUACAGAUUUCUUAUUUUUACAGCAUCAGUUUUUAACUGCAUGGAACCUCUGUGUGGACUUUAAGACUGAUUGAUGCUUUUGGGGGAAAAAAAAAAAACUACCAGGCAUCUAAGUUGUUCCCUUUUAUUUCAGGGGGAUGGGAGAAGAGGGUGAAGAGUAGUAACUAAUUGGAGUUAUACUACUGUGGUGGAACAUUCCAAGUGUUUACAGUGCAUUUUUGAGUAUGGAGUGCAACACCAUUUCUAACCUGACUUCUUUUAAGUUGAUUAAUUGGAUUCAGUAUGACGUGUUACAUUUUGCUUUGAACUCUAGAGGCAGGACAGUAUUCCUUUCCUACCAGCAGAGAUUAUCAUUUAAAUAAUCUUUUUUUUAAACAAAAACACCCACAAAGCUAUGUUUUUUGACAAGGCAGAAUUGGUCACAUACCAUAAAGAAAAGUAUUUUCUUAUUUCCUUCAGUUACCUUAUGUAUCUAUUGGUGUUUUCACAGCACUAACUGGAUUAGAGUUCAGCUCUGCCUUUCAUAAAUGAAAUGUCACUCCAGAGAAAAAUGGUCAGUAUUUAAAUGCCACUUCAUUAAACCAAAAAAGAAAUAAAUUAGUUACUUGUAAAAGCAUAAAUUAGCAUGUUGGUUCAAGCCUUUUUCAGGAUGGAAACCAAAUAUGAAUGACCAAGAAAAACAGUUUUUACAUCAACAUAAUAUGGCCUAUAUGGGAAAGAACAUUCCUUCCAACUUUUCACAUUAUAUUUUUCUCCCUAUUAAAAAACAAGAUUUAAAAAAAAAUUAUUUGUAGGUAAGACUAAUGAAACUAGUUUUCUGUGCCACCACGCAAGUGACUAAAAAAAAACAAAAAAAACCCAAAAACCUGUGUUUCUUUUCAGACAUUUUCUUAGUCAUGAGUAUAAACAUGCUGGGGCAGAUCCUGAGCUGGGAUAAAAACUGUCAUAGCUCUACUGAAGUCAAUGAAGCUACGACAAGUUACGCUAACUAAGAAUGUGCCCUGCUGUCCCAUAUAUUGCCAGUAGAACACCCAAUUAAUAGGAAGAUGGCAGCGGAGUCAAUAAUGAAUGCUGACAGCACCCUCCUCUCUCCCACCAUCUGAAAGUAACCCAGAAUUAUGCACUCAGUUUCUGCCAAAAAACAAAACCCCUAAAUUAGGGCAGCAACAAAACAGAAACAAAGUUUCAUUUACAAAAUAAAAAAUAUAUAUAAAACUAACUUUAGAAAUCAAAUGGAUUUGUUGCCAACACAUGAAAAAUACCUCUAGUAUUUUUCUGUCAAAUUCUGAGGUUUUAAACAUUAAUAGAAAAAACAUACCUAAUACAUUUUAAACAAAUGUACUAUACAAUGAACAAUAAAUAAAAAGAUUUAAAAAAA